ACGCCGGUAGCUCAAUUGGCAGAGCAGCGGAUUCCAAAUCCGCAGGUUGAGUGUUCAAGUCACUCCCGGCGUG
rnacentral:tRNA from 3 species